GACGAACCGUGCGAACGUUGUUCGGAAUCACUGGGCUUAAAGGGCGCGUAGGCGGCUCGCGAGGUCGGGGGUGAAAUCCCGCAGCUUAACUGCGGAAGAGCCUUCGAUACCGGCGGGCUAGAGGAAGGUAGGGGUGCGCGGAACUUCUGGUGGAGCGGUGAAAUGCGUAGAUAUCAGGAGGAACACCGGUGGCGAAGGCGGGUCUCUGGGCCGAUACUGACGCUGAGGAGCGAAAGCGUGGGGAGCGAACAGG
rnacentral:rRNA from 1 species